AGAAGCUGGAGGAAAAGCAGAAGAUACAUUAGUUUGCCAAGUAUGCUGCUGGAUGUUCAUUCAGCACUAGUGUUUAACAAAAGCCCGGUUUUAAAAUCAGAGGAUAUGAGUUGGGGGUCCUCGAGGAUGCUGAACACUGACUAAAAGGAGAGAGUGCACAUUACAUGGAGACCAUGGUCCCUGUACCAGAAACACUGAGAGUAGAGAGAAGCAAAGCCAGCAUCGUGGAACCAGUCCUUUUAUCCAGGGUCUUGGAGGGAUACAGUCUUCUGUAGAAAUUAAAUAAAGACUGAAUUCUUCAAUGGGUAUUUUGAGAAGAGAGCCACUGUAAGCUUAUAUACUGUGAAUUGCAAAAUGUUACUGCCUCUGGGUGGACAGGUUUUAAAAAGACAUUUUUUUUCCCCUCCUGGCAUGGCUGACAGAGGGAAGGCUGGGUUUCAAUCCCAUCUUUCCCUUCCCUUGCCCAGUGCUUCUUUGUGUGCACAACCUGCACAACUGUAUGUGGUUUGCAAACACGCAUAAGCAAAGACUAACAGCUUCUGAAACAAACUCUGAAUCAAAGAGGGAGCAUGUUAAUGCAGAUGGCAGAGGAGGUGAGCAGCAUGGGCAGAUAGAAGCAUCACAGAGACUGCAAGAAGAAUGUGCCAGACCAGCUCAUAGUGGCCACACUGAUUAAGAAUUAUCAUCAGCUCUUUAGGAUUUGGAAACUUGGAAACACAUUGUGUGUUCUUCCUGGUUUGUUAUAGAGUAUGUGUAUGUACUUCUUUCUCUUAAAAAUAUUUAUUUUUAAAGAAUUGACUUACAAAAUUAUAUGUAUUUAUCAUGUAUAACACAAUAUUUUGAAGUACAGUCCUGUGUCAUAAGGAUAUGUUCUGAGAAAUCCAUCAAUUUUGUCAUUGUAUAAACACGAUAGAGUGUAUUUACACAAACCUAGGUGGUAUAAACUACUACACACCUAGGCUACAUGAUGCAGCCUAUUGCUCCUAGGCUAUAAACCUGUAUAAUAUGCUACUGUACUAAAUACUAUAGAUAGUUGUCACAUACUGGUGAUAUUUGUGUAUCAAAACAUAUCUAAAUAUAGAAAAGAUGCAGUAAAAAUAUGGUAUUACAAUCUUAUGAGACCACUAUAGUAUAUGAGGUCCAUCAUUGAUUAAAACAUUGUUAUACGGUGCAUGACUGUAUAUAUGCAUUGUGGAAUGGUUAAAUCUAGCUAACUAACAAAUGUGUUACAUCACAUAGUUAUUAUUUUUGAGGUGAGAACACAAUAUUCACUCUCUUAGCAUUUUUUAAGAAUACGGGAUAAUAACUAUAGUCACCAUGCUGAAUGGUAGAUCUCUGGAACUAAUUUCUCCUGUCUAAGUGUGAUUAUGUACCCUUUGACCAACAUCUUUCUAACCCCACCCCACAAACAACCCAUAAUAAAGCCUCUUGUAACCACCA
rnacentral:lncRNA from 1 species